UGGGUCUACCUCCACAACGCACUCCACGCCCAAGGGACAGGGCUAGGCGUCACCAGCCCACAGGUAUGGACAGUCUCAUUAAUGACAUGGGCGAAUUGCAGAUUGGGCAAGAAGCAACAUUGCAACUGGCGUUACAAAACGGCCAACAUAUCCGACGUGUGCGAGAGGAAGACGCACAACGCUGGGUUGGAUGGUACCAAAAUUUCCCGCCACCACAGUGAGCGAAGAUCUAGCUUGGGGGAGAUCCUCUCCCCCACUAAGGUAAGUAUUCUAUCCUAUUUAUUUUCAUGCAUUUUAUCAUUCUUACUUAAAAAAAAUAAAUAUUUAUUAGCAUUUCCCUUUAGCAUAUAUGCUUCAUGUAUGUUUAUAUCCCUCAUGGAAAUUAUGACUAGUUGCUUGUUAAUGUUUCUCUAGUGCCUAGUAUACAACUUAGUAUUUCUCUAAGUAUGGAUCACUUAGCUCACUUAAACUGCCAUGAACCUAAAAACUUUGUGGGUUGCAAGUGCUAGAACUAAGUCUAAGUUAUUGUGGGACAUGAGAUAGUAAGACAAGAGCUACUAUAAUAUUUUUCUAAGCAUGCAUGAUUAUCAGAGAUUUAUUCUUAAAAUGAUCAAAACCUUAAUUGUUCCUCAAUGGUGACGAAUUCCUACCACAGCCAUAUCUACUUUACAUAAUUGCAACCUUUCCACAUAAGCUAUUUGCUUUGUGUUGAGUGUCGUCAAGUCUUGUUGACCCUUGUUAAGAGACUUUUCAUGCUCCUAAGAUCAAGAUCACGUACACACCACAUAUAUAUAUGCUGCUUCUACACUGGAAGUACGCAACCACAUGUAUUUCGCAUCCACUAAAUAGGUUGCUCCAUACUCUAAAUGUUAGAACAUCUCUCUAAGCAUUAUUUGGUAAAUGAGACAUCAAAAGGCUAGGCAAAAUGAAAUAAAAAGAUGGACAUGUGCAAGUCCACAGAAAAAGAAAAUUGAGCACAUGAAAGCUCAUAUAUAUAUAUAAAAAAAAAGAGAAGAAAAAAAAAUGCUAGCCAUGUCUCAAUACAUAGAGAGUCUAUCAAAUAAAGGAGCAACCUAGUCCACCAUAUAUCACACUUGCACAUCUUGAUCUGGGAGUAUGACACUUCUCUUCAAGGAUCCGAGCUUUGACUUCGCAAUACAUGCAAAGUAAGUAUGCUAUCUCCUUUCAUCCCUACCUUGAACUCCACAUAAGCCUUUUAGAAAUAGGAUGAAAUAGAGAAGGCAACUCUUACCAUAUGCCUUGGUGAGGAAUCAUACACCAUUUGAGUGACAUGAGAGAACCAUAAGAGGAACAUUUAAGCUUUCUUUUGAAAAUAUCACAAAACCUCUGAUAUGAAACUUGCUAAGAAUGAGAAAGUUAGUGCUCAAGUCAAACUGUUCUGUCUCUCAACCACCUAAGACAAAGGAAAAGCCAUAAGCCCCAUAAGGGACUAAGGUAAUAGGGGUAAGUUUACAUAGCUAAAUUUUUCAUGCAAAGAGAAGAACUUUGUUGUACACAUGGUACUCUUGAAAUGUGAACAUAGUAACAAUACCUGAUCCACCGAGGCUAAGUUUGAUUGUUUGCUCGGGACGAGCAAAGGUUAAGCUUGGGGGAUCUUGUUGACGGUGGAUAUACCAUAGAAAUCCACAUACAAAACACCGUCAACAUGCCUCGGUUGCAAGGAGAAACGACAUGACAUGAACAUAUUUUAUCCAUAACUAGUUCCACUUGUACUCUUAGCUUGUUUAUGUAGGAACAACAAAUUCAAGACAUUAUUUGACAAAGCCAACAUCAGAAUCAUCAAGAGGAGAUCGAGGGGACAACAAGUGACACCCUGGGCCCACAGGGAGGGGGUCGCCCGACCCCUCUUUGGUGGGACCCAGGUGUGCCACCUAGUCCACCGACAUAAGGGACCCCUGUGGACACUGCUGGUGGGCCCAGAGGCCCAGAAGUGGGGUCGCCCGACCCCACAUCAAAGGCGGUUCCAGGGUCGGUGGCCUCCCACCGACCUUCCCCACAUGUCCCACAUGUUGAUUUGCCCC
rnacentral:lncRNA from 1 species